UACGUAGGGGGCAAGCGUUGUCCGGAUUUAUUGGGCGUAAAGCGCGUGUAGGCGGCCACACAGGUCCGUUGUGAAAACUCGAGGCUCAACCUCCGAGACGUCGGUUGAAACCGUCUGGCUAGAGUCCGGAAGAGGAGAGUGGAAUUCCCGGUGUAGCGGUGAAAUGCGCAGAUAUCGGGAAGAACACCCGUGGCGAAAGCGGCGCACUGGACCACAACUGACGCUGAGGCGCGAAA
rnacentral:rRNA from 1 species